rnacentral:rRNA from 1 species
UACAGAGGGUGCGAGCGUUAAUCGGAAUUACUGGGCGUAAAGCGUGCGUAGACGGUUAUUUAAGUCGGGUGUGAAAGCCCCGGGCUCAACCUGGGAAUUGCAUUCGAGACUGAAUAGCUAGGGUACGGUAGAGGGAAGUGGAAUUUCCGGUGUAGCGGUGAAAUGCGCAGAUAUCAGGAAGAAUAUCCGUGGCGAAGGCGGCUCUCUGGUACGGCACUGACGCUGAGACGCGAAAGCGUGGGGAGCAAACAGG